rnacentral:rRNA from 1 species
UGGGGAAUAUUGCACAAUGGGCGCAAGCCUGAUGCAGCCAUGCCGCGUGUGUGAAGAAGGCCUUCGGGUUGUAAAGCACUUUCAGCGGGGAGGAAGGCGGUGAGGUUAAUAACCUCAUCGAUUGACGUUACCCGCAGAAGAAGCACCGGCUAACUCCGUGCCAGCAGCCGCGGUAAUACGGAGGGUGCAAGCGUUAAUCGGAAUUACUGGGCGUAAAGCGCACGCAGGCGGUCUGUCAAGUCGGAUGUGAAAUCCCCGGGCUCAACCUGGGAACUGCAUUCGAAAAUGGCAUGAUAGAGUCCUGUAGAGGAGGGUAGAAUUCCAGGUGUAGCGGUGAAAUGAGUAGAGAUCUGGAGGAAUACCGGUAGCGAAGGCGGCCCCCUGGACAAAGACUGACGCUCAGGUGCGAAAGCGUGGGGAGCAAACAGG